CCCAGUGAAGUCGAUGACCUCUCUCCAAAAUUACAUCGCUCUAUUAAGUUCAAUCGGCGAUGUACCUUCUCCCUUCCCUCACGCCUCUUAUCUCCUCUCCUUCAUAAUUUUCGGAGAAAUGUAACCUAAAUUUACCCAAGCCCUAGUCAAUCGACUCAAUACGAGCAUUUUAAGAAAACCAUGAGUCACUCUCUGCCUUAAGGCCUGCAAUCGUUGAUACAAUGGGUCUAUUAGAUUUUGAGCCAAUGUGUUCGACUGACGAUUAUUGAGAAUCUUUUCUUUCAGCGGCUGAUGCGGAGGGAGAUAUUAACUUGACGAUUAUGCUUGCGUAUAGCUACAAUGGAAUCAAAAACGACAGUUCAGAAUUCAGGCAAUUUUGGACCAGUGGCGGUUGUUGAUCGAGGUUUCACACUUGGGAGAUUAUUGAGGUAUUUGCACGGCGUUCGCAAGCCUUAACUCUUCAUCUCUAUCUCUAGAUGUAUUUCUGGGUUUUUCCUUGAACGUUGUAAUAGACUAUGUUUUCCUUUAGACGCUCAUGCACUUAGUGACACCCUGGUUUUGGGCAAUUGUAUCUUAGUUUGGAACUUAUUAUGUUCAAAUAGUUUCCUCUAAAUGUUCAAAGCUUCAGUUAAAUGUUGUCAAACUUA